AAUGAGUAGCGAGAAGGCGGGCGAGAAUCCCGCCGGCCGGAAGUCCAAGGUUUCCAGGGGAAGGUUUGUCCGCCCUGGGGAAGUCGGGACCUAAGCAUAAGCAAAAAUGUGAUGGCGAAUGGAAAACAGGUUAAUAUUCCUGUACCGCUGUUAUCGCCUGAGAGACGGAGUGACGCAGGAAGGUAUGCGGGAAGGCUGACGGAAUAGCCUUUCUAAGGGCGUAGCAUGGGCAUGCAGGAAAAUCCGCAUGCCUAAAUGUGAGACCUGACGGGUAAGUGCAUCUUGCAUAAGCCGCAGAUCCUACACUGCCGAGAAAAACUUCUAUCGAUGAGAACCAGCGCCCGUACUGUAAACCGACACAGGUGGACAGAGUGAGAAACUUAAGGCCGACAGGAUAACUCUAGCUAAGGAACUCUGCAAAAUAGCCCCGUAACUUCGGGAGAAGGGGUGCCUGACAUACCUGAGAGGAGAAGCGCCUCAAGGGGAAACAGGCCGCAGUGAAGAGUCCCAAGCAACUGUUUACCAAAAACACAGGUCUAUGCUAAGCUGAAAGGCGACGUAUAUGGGCUGACACCUGCCCAGUGCCGGAAGGUUAAGAGGAGGAGUGAGAGCUCCGAAUUGAAGCCCCGGUGAACGGCGGCCGUAACUAUAACGGUCCUAAGGUAGCGAAAUUCCUUGUCGGGUAAGUUCCGACCUGCACGAAUGGUGAAAUGAUUUGGGAGCUGUCUUGGCUGGAGACCUGGUGAAGUUGUAAUGCCGGUGAAGAUACCGGCUACCUGCAGUAGGACGGAAAGACCCCGUGGAGCUUUACUGCAGUCUGGCAUUGGGUUUUGGCUGCGUGUGUAUAGGAUAGUUGGGAGACUGUGAAGCUGAAGCGUCAGUUUCAGCCGAGUCGCCGUUGGAAUACCAACCAUAUGCCGUUGAAAUUCUAAUCCGGUAACGGAGACAGUGCUAGAUGGGCAGUUUGACUGGGGCGGUCGCCUCCCAAAGAGUAACGGAGGCGUUCAAAGGUUCCCUCAGGCUGGAUGGAAAUCAGCCUAGGAGUGCAAACGCAUAAGGGAGCUUGACUGCAAGACUGACGGGUCGAGCAGGCACGAAAGUGGGAGUUAGUGAUCCGGCGGUUCCGUAUGGAAGGACCGUCGCUCAACGGAUAAAAGCUACCCCGGGGAUAACAGGCUGAUACUUCCCAAGAGUCCAUAUCGACGGAAGUGUUUGGCACCUCGAUGUCGGCUCGUCUCAUCCUGGGGCUGGAGAAGGUCCCAAGGGUUGGGCUGUUCGCCCAUUAAAGAGGCACGCGAGCUGGGUUCAGAACGUCGUGAGACAGUUCGGUCCCUAUCCACUGCAGGCGCCUGAAUACUGAAAAGAUCUGACCUUAGUACGAGAGGACCGGGUUGGACAGACCUCUGAUGUACCAGUUGUCACGCCAGUGGCACGGCUGGGUAGUCACGUCUGGGACGGAUAAACCGCUGAAAGCAUCUAAGCGGGAAGCCGGCUUUGAGAUGAGUGUUCGCAGUAUCCAUGGAGAACACAUGGUUGAUAGGCCAGAGGUGUAAGUGCAGCAAUGCAUUCAGCUGACUGGUACUAAUAUUACAUCUGCUUUUU
rnacentral:rRNA from 1 species